UCUCUCCUUUUCAUGCUGAGCUGUUGCAAAAAAGCUCAUAACCUCAAAGAAAUAGCGUCUAGGAGAAGCUGACGCAAUAUCCAUAGUUAAUUCCACAAAAGUUUUUAGCUUGAUAGGGACAUUAGGGGCAUUGCUUUCAGCACUCUCCAUCACUCUAGGGUGCACCUGAAAUGGGGCACAAUAAGGAAAAGGUAAAAAUGCAAUUCACCCACAUCAGGCAAGUAUUUGAAAAGUUGCAUCAAAAUAUGUGAAAACUAAUGGAAUAAUCAUUACAUGAGCAGGGGGGGAAAUGUUUCCCCUCACAACCUAUCCAGGUCAGCCCAAUAUAGGAUCUGAAGGUCAGAUAUAUCAGUAUACAGUUACAUCCAAAAUAACUGAGAAUUAGAGAAGGAAAAAACAUAAGUAUUUGCAUGAAAUUGAAGCAGAUAUUAAAUGAAUCUAGCCACUUUUCAUAACAUAGCAGCCACCUAAGUUUCAAAUCGAAUGCAGUUUGAGUUUUGCAAGCCACAGAAGUUGAUCAGGGUGGUUCUCAAGCUCAUAAUAUUUAGUGAACAAGGUCAGAUUUAUCUCCAUCCAAGUAGAUGCUUGAAGAAGGGUAAGAUGAGCCAAGUUCGGGUUGUUCACUAGUGGCUUGCUCUAGCCCUGGCCACGGCAUGAGUUGGGCCUGAAACCAGACUGGAACUGGUCAACUGUUCACAGGCCCAGACUGGACUGAAAGUGCUUUGAAGGAGGGGGGCGAGUGGUCCCUUCCCCUUUUGAAACUUGAAAUUGACCAGAAUUGGCAGUCCAGUCCAAGCCACUGAUUUCUUUAAAAGAAAAGAAAAAAUUUGAAAAAUUAUUUCAACUAUUGAAUUGUCUCAACUCUGAUUGAACUAGAACCAAACCAAAAUUAGAACCACCCUUUUUUAAAUACACUAGUUAGAG
rnacentral:misc_RNA from 1 species